rnacentral:rRNA from 1 species
UACAGAGGGUGCAAGCGUUAAUCGGAAUUACUGGGCGUAAAGCGUGCGUAGACGGUUAUGUAAGUCGGGUGUGAAAGCCCCGGGCUCAACCUGGGAAUUGCAUUCGAGACUGCAUAGCUAGGGUGCGGAAGAGGGAAGCGGAAUUUCCGGUGUAGCGGUGAAAUGCGUAGAUAUCGGGAGGAACACCGGUGGCGAAGGCGGCGAUCUGGGUCGAUACUGACGCUGAGGUGCGAAAGCGUGGGGAGCAAACAGG